rnacentral:rRNA from 1 species
GAGAUGGAUUGGUGCCUUCGGGAACUCUGACACAGGUGCUGCAUGGCUGUCGUCAGCUCGUGUCGGUGAGAUGUUGGGUUAAGUCCCGUAACGAGCGCAACCCUUGUCCUUAGUUACCAGCACGUUAUGGUGGGCACUCUAAGGAGACUGCCGGUGACAAACCGGAGGAAGGUGGGGAUGACGUCAAGUCAUCAUGGCCCUUACGGCCUGGGCUACACACGUGCUACAAUGGUCGGUACAAAGGGUUGCCAAGCCGCGAGGUGGAGCUAAUCCCAUAAAACCGAUCGUAGUCCGGAUCGCAGUCUGCAACUCGACUGCGUGAAGUCGGAAUCGCUAGUAAUCGUGAAUCAGAAUGUCACGGUGAAUACGUUCCCGGGCCUU